rnacentral:misc_RNA from 1 species
GAUGAAGAACGCAGCGAAAUGCGAUAAGUAAUGUGAAUUGCAGAAUUCAGUGAAUCAUCGAAUCUUUGAACGCACAUUGCGCCCGCCAGCAUUCUGGCGGGCAUGCCUGUUCGAGCGUCAUUUCAACCCUCGAGCCCCCCCGGGGGCCUCGGUGUUGGGGGACGGCACACCAGCCGCCCCCGAAAUGCAGUGGCGACCCCGCCGCAGCCUCCCCUGCGUAGUAGCACACACCUCGCACCGAAGCGCGGAGGCGGUCACGCCGUAAAACGCCCAACUUUCUUAGAGUUGACCUCGGAUCAGGUAGGAAUACCCGCUGAACUUAAGCAUAUCAAUAAGCGGAGGA